rnacentral:tRNA from 1 species
GGAGCGGAUCUGGCCUGGUGGCCGGCCUGGACUUCAAAUCCAGUGUGAGGCAGUGAUCCUGUCUUAGGUGUGUUCGAUUCGCACACGUUCC